rnacentral:rRNA from 1 species
AACUAUAACGGUCCUAAGGUAGCGAAAUUCCUUGUCAGGUAAGUUCUGACCCGCACGAAAGGUGUAACGAUUUGGGCGCUGUCUCGGCAGCAGACUCGGUGAAAUCUUAGUACCUGUGAAAAUGCAGGUUACCCGCAACUAGACGGAAAGACCCCAUGGAGCUUUACUGCAGCCUGAUAUUGAAUUCUGGUCAUACAUGUACAGGAUAGGUGGGAGACAAAGAGACGUGCACGCCAGUGUACGAGGAGUCGACGUUGGGAUACCACUCUUGUGUGACCGGGGUUCUAACCUGGUAUCGAGAACAGGUACGGGGAGAGUGUCAGGUGGGCAGUUUGACUGGGGCGGUCGCCUCCCAAAGAGUAACGGAGGCGCCCAAAGGUACGCUCAGAUUGGAUGGAAACCAAUCGUCGAGUGCAAUUGCAGAAGCGUGCUUGACUGUGAGACAGACAAGUCGAACAGGGACGAAAGUCGGGAAUAGUGAUCCGGCGGUGCCGAAUGGAAGGGCCGUCGCUCAACGGAUAAAAGCUACCCUGGGGAUAACAGGCUGAUCUCCCCCAAGAGUCCACAUCGACGGGGAGGUUUGGCACCUCGAUGUCGGCUCAUCGCAUCCUGGGGCUGAAGUAGGUCCCAAGGGUUGGGCUGUUCGCCCAUUAAAGCGGUACGCGAGCUGGGUUCAGAACGUCGUGAGACAGUUCGGUCCCUAUCUGUUGUGGGCGAAGGAGAUCUGCGGAGAGCUGUCCUCAGUACGAGAGGACCGGGAUGGACCUACCGCUGGUGCACCGGUUGUUCCGCCAGGGGCAUAGCCGGGUAGCUAAGUAGGGAAAGGAUAAGCGCUGAAAGCAUCUAAGCACGAAGCCUACUCCAAGAUGAGAUCUCCCAUUCGCAAGAAGUAAGACCCCUUAAAGACGAUAAGGUAGAUAGGCCAGGGAUGGAAGUGCAGUGAUGUACGGAGUUGACUGGUACUAAUCGGUCGAGGACUUAAUCAG